rnacentral:rRNA from 1 species
AGAGUUUGAUCCUGGCUCAGGAUGAACGCUGGCGGUAUGCUUAACACAUGCAAGUCGAACGAAAGCCUAUGUGCUUUAGUGGCGAACGGGUGCGUAAUACGUGAGAAUCUGCCCUUAGGAGGAGAAUAACUUCUGGAAACGGUUGCUAAGUCUCCAUAUGCCGAGAGGUAAAAUAGUUUAGACUGCCUAGGGAUGAGCUCACGCCUGAUUAGCUUGUUGGUAAGGUAAUGGCUUACCAAGGCCACGAUCAGUAGCUGGUUUGAGAGAACGAUCAGCCACACUGGGACUGAGACACGGCCCAGACUCCUCCGGGAGGCAGCAGUGAGGAAUUUUCCGCAAUGGGCGAAAGCCUGACGGAGCAAUACCGCGUGAGGGAUGAAGGAUUUUGGUCUGUAAACCUCUUUUCUCAAGAAAGAAGUUCUGACGGUACUUGAGGAAUAAGCAUCGGCUAACUCCGUGCCAGCAGCCGCGGUAAUACGGGGGAUGCAAGCGUUAUCCGGAAUCAUUGGGCGUAAAGCGCGCGUAGGCGGAUUGGAAAGUUGGGGGUGAAAUCCCAGGGCUCAACCCUGGAACUGCCUCCAAAACUCCCAGUCUAGAGUUCGAGAGAGGUGAGUGGAAUUCCAAGUGUAGAGGUGAAAUUCGUAGAUAUUUGGAGGAACACCAGUGGCGAAGGCGGCUCACUGGCUCGAUACUGACGCUGAGGUGCGAAAGUGUGGGGAGCAAACAGGAUUAGAUACCCUGGUAGUCCACACCGUAAACGAUGAAUGCCAGUCGUCGGGUAGUAUACUAUUCGGUGACACACCUAACGGAUUAAGCAUUCCGCCUGGGGAGUACGGUCGCAAGAUUAAAACUCAAAGGAAUUGACGGGGGCCCGCACAAGCGGUGGAGCAUGUGGUUUAAUUCGAAGCAACGCGCAGAACCUUACCAACCCUUGACAUACUCGUCGUCGCUCCAGAGAUGGAGCUCUCAGCUAGGCUGGACGAGAUACAGGUGCUGCAUGGCUGUCGUCAGCUCGUGUCGUGAGAUGUUCGGUUAAGUCCGGCAACGAGCGCAACCCACAUCCCUAGUUGCCAGCAGUUCGGCUGGGCACUCUAUGGAAACUGCCCGUGAUAAGCGGGAGGAAGGUGUGGAUGACGUCAAGUCCUCAUGGCCCUUACGGGUUGGGCUACACACGUGCUACAAUGGCAGUGACAAUGGGAUAAUCCCAAAAAACUGUCUCAGUUCGGAUUGGGGUCUGCAACUCGACCCCAUGAAGUCGGAAUCGCUAGUAAUCGCGUAACAGCAUGACGCGGUGAAUACGUUCCCGGGCCUUGUACACACCGCCCGUCACACCAUGGGAGUUGGUUCUACCCGACGACGCUGCGCUAACCCUUCGGGGAGGCAGGCGGCCACGGUAGGAUCAGCGACUGGGGUGAAGUCGUAACAAGGUAACC